rnacentral:rRNA from 1 species
GACGAACCGUGCGAACGUUAUUCGGAAUCAUUGGGCUUAAAGGGCGCGUAGGCGGGCCGCAAAGUCAGGGGGUGAAAAUCCUCCAGCCCAACUGGAGAAGCGCCUUUGAUACUGGCGGCCUCGAGGGGUGCAGGGGCAUGCGGAACUCAGGGUGGAGCGGUGAAAUGCGUAGAUAUCCUGAGGAACACCAGUGGCGAAGGCGACUACCUGGCCUGUUCUUGACGCUGAGGCGCGAAAGCUAGGGGAGCAAACGG